rnacentral:lncRNA from 1 species
CACUACAAAUAAACCUCAAAAUGAAACUACAAAGGUUCCAAAAUCCAUAACAAAAGUACAAAACAUCAACGUACACUGUGUUGUCAAAACAACUACAAACAUCUAAUGUCUUCCAGAAUGAACUCAAAUCUUCUACAAAUCUUUAAAAACAUCCUAAUCAUGUCAACUUCUCACCCAAGCUGAUCUGAAAGGGAAGGGAAAAAGGGUGAGCUACAAAGCUGAGUAAGCAUCAAUAUCUGAAACGAAAUGAUUCGAAUAGAAGAGCAAAGGAGUUGGAUUCAUGAGCUGCAACACAAUUAACACAAGAUUUUAGUGAAUCAAUAACAAUACAAUUAAGUUCUGUAAUUCAUACCUAAUGAAGCCUUAUUCCCAUGGUAGUCACAUGAGCCUUAUUACUAAAUGAUUAAAGGUCUAGACUCCUUCCGAUGAUUCAAAUGAACUGAAUCAACCACAUGUUCAGAUGCUAUACGAUGUUCGAUUAUAAACACUUUAAACAAUGAAACGAAGGCAAUGACAUCUGAAUCAAUAAUCAACUGAGUUUCAAAUAUCAAAGGAGGAAACUGAAAACAGAAUCACAAUACAACAAAAGUGGCUCAAGAAAUUCAGAAUGAUGGAAGCAAAGCAAUGCAAAGCUAACAACACAAGGAUACUUACAUGAUUCACAAUGCUUGAACCAUGGAAUCCAACAGUUGAGUUCCUUAACUUAACAAAUCUCUCUCUCAAACUCUAACCUCUUAGUUUUGGUUCUAAAAUAAGCAAAAUUGGUUGAGGAGAAGCAAAAGCUGUCAAUAAAAAGGAGCCAACUUUCUUUAAGCAGAUGGUGGAGCGUUACUUCAGUUGUGGGCUUGCUUGUUAAGAGGUGGUAGCUUACUUCAAGCAAGUGGUGGAGGUUAACUUUAUAAAUGAUGCCUACUUGUUGUGCUAAAAUAUUAGUAGGGCAGACCAACCAGCCAAUCUUAUAAAGGUUGACUUGCG